rnacentral:lncRNA from 1 species
GAAGCUUUGCUCUUUGGACACAUAUAUGAAGGUGAAGGAGGCAAAGUGAAGUAUGGCAAAAUCAAGAUUGGAGGAAAUGGUUAUGUGGGAAGUAGAGCUGUGGCAAUGCCAGGGGUAACUAGUGAUAAUAAAGGUAAUCUUGGAAAUCUCUCAUUUGCCAUUAAGGGAGAGCUCGUAAAAUAGGCGAAAAUAUGAUCAAGAUUAUGGCAGUGUUUGGUAUGACGGAAGUCAUUUUCC